UUUUACCUAACUAAGCUAACUAUGUCAUUUUGGAGCUAAAUUAGCUAAUUCUGUCAUUUUGGAGGAUAACUAGCUAAGUAUGUCUUUGUUGGGCAAAAUAAGUUACUAGAAGAAGGAGAAAGAAGAAGAAGAAGAAGAAGAAGAAGAAGAAGAAGAAGAAGAAGAAGGAGUAGGAGGAGGAGGAGGAGGAGGAGGAGGAGG
rnacentral:lncRNA from 1 species